GAUGAACGCUGGCGGCGUGCCUAAUACAUGCAAGUCGAACGAACAGAUGAGGAGCUUGCUCCUCUGACGUUAGCGGCGGACGGGUGAGUAACACGUGGAUAACCUACCUAUAAGACUGGGAUAACUUCGGGAAACCGGAGCUAAUACCGGAUAAUAUAUUGAACCGCAUGGUUCAAUAGUGAAAGACGGUUUUGCUGUCACUUAUAGAUGGAUCCGCGCCGCAUUAGCUAGUUGGUAAGGUAACGGCUUACCAAGGCAACGAUGCGUAGCCGACCUGAGAGGGUGAUCGGCCACACUGGAACUGAGACACGGUCCAGACUCCUAAGGGAGGCAGCAGUAGGGAAUCUUCCGCAAUGGGCGAAAGCCUGACGGAGCAACGCCGCGUGAGUGAUGAAGGUCUUCGGAUCGUAAAACUCUGUUAUUAGGGAAGAACAAAUGUGUAAGUAACUAUGCACGUCUUGACGGUACCUAAUCAGAAAGCCACGGCUAACUACGUG
rnacentral:rRNA from 1 species